AUUGAACGCUGGCGGCAGGCCUAACACAUGCAAGUCGAGCGGUAGCACAGAGAGCUUGCUCUCGGGUGACGAGCGGCGGACGGGUGAGUAAUGUCUGGGAAACUGCCUGAUGGAGGGGGAUAACUACUGGAAACGGUAGCUAAUACCGCAUAACGUCGCAAGACCAAAGUGGGGGACCUUCGGGCCUCAUGCCAUCAGAUGUGCCCAGAUGGGAUUAGCUAGUAGGUGGGGUAACGGCUCACCUAGGCGACGAUCCCUAGCUGGUCUGAGAGGAUGACCAGCCACACUGGAACUGAGACACGGUCCAGACUCCUACGGGAGGCAGCAGUGGGGAAUAUUGCACAAUGGGCGCAAGCCUGAUGCAGCCAUGCCGCGUGUGUGAAGAAGGCCUUCGGGUUGUAAAGCACUUUCAGCGGGGAGGAAGGCGUUAAGGUUAAUAACCUUGGCGAUUGACGUUACCCGCAGAAGAAGCACCGGCUAACUCCGUGCCAGCAGCCGCGGUAAUACGGAGGGUGCAAGCGUUAAUCGGAAUUACUGGGCGUAAAGCGCACGCAGGCGGUCUGUCAAGUCGGAUGUGAAAUCCCCGGGCUCAACCUGGGAACUGCAUUCGAAACUGGCAGGCUAGAGUCUUGUAGAGGGGGGUAGAAUUCCAGGUGUAGCGGUGAAAUGCGUAGAGAUCUGGAGGAAUACCGGUGGCGAAGGCGGCCCCCUGGACAAAGACUGACGCUCAGGUGCGAAAGCGUGGGGAGCAAACAGGAUUAGAUACCCUGGUAGUCCACGCCGUAAACGAUGUCGAUUUGGAGGUUGUGCCCUUGAGGCGUGGCUUCCGGAGCUAACGCGUUAAAUCGACCGCCUGGGGAGUACGGCCGCAAGGUUAAAACUCAAAUGAAUUGACGGGGGCCCGCACAAGCGGUGGAGCAUGUGGUUUAAUUCGAUGCAACGCGAAGAACCUUACCUGGUCUUGACAUCCACAGAACUUUCCAGAGAUGGAUUGGUGCCUUCGGGAACUGUGAGACAGGUGCUGCAUGGCUGUCGUCAGCUCGUGUUGUGAAAUGUUGGGUUAAGUCCCGCAACGAGCGCAACCCUUAUCCUUUGUUGCCAGCGGUUCGGCCGGGAACUCAAAGGAGACUGCCAGUGAUAAACUGGAGGAAGGUGGGGAUGACGUCAAGUCAUCAUGGCCCUUACGACCAGGGCUACACACGUGCUACAAUGGCAUAUACAAAGAGAAGCGACCUCGCGAGAGCAAGCGGACCUCAUAAAGUAUGUCGUAGUCCGGAUUGGAGUCUGCAACUCGACUCCAUGAAGUCGGAAUCGCUAGUAAUCGUAGAUCAGAAUGCUACGGUGAAUACGUUCCCGGGCCUUGUACACACCGCCCGUCACACCAUGGGAGUGGGUUGCAAAAGAAGUAGGUAGCUUAACCUUCGGGAGGGCGCUUACCAC
rnacentral:rRNA from 1 species